rnacentral:rRNA from 1 species
GGCUUCGGCCUGAGUGAAGCUUAUGAAAGCGGCGGACGGGUGAGUAACGCGUGGGCAACCUGCCCCAUACAGAGGGAUAGCCACUGGAAACGGUGAUUAAUACCUCAUAAGUCAGUNGGGNNNNNNNNNUUAGCUGACAAAGAUUUAUCGGUAUGGGAUGGGCCCGCGUCNNNUUAGCUAGUUGGUGAGGUAACGGCUCACCAAGGCGACGAUCAGUAGCCGACCUGAGAGGGUGAUCGGCCACNCUGGAACUGAGACACGGUCCAGACUCCUACGGGAGGCAGCAGUGGGGAAUAUUGCACAAUGGGCGCAAGCCUGAUGCAGCAACGCCGCGUGAGUGAUGAAGGCCUUCGGGUUGUAAAACUCUGUCCUAUGGGAAGAAACAAAUGACGGUACCAUGGGAGGAAGCCCCGGCUAACUACGUGCCAGCAGCCGCGGUAAUACGUAGGGGGCAAGCGUUAUCCGGAAUCACUGGGCGUAAAGGGUGCGUAGGUGGCCUAUCAAGCCAGAGGUGAAAGGCAGUGGCUCAACCAUUGUAAGCCUUUGGAACUGAUUAGCUUGAGUGCAGGAGAGGUAAGUGGAAUUCCUAGUGUAGAGGUGAAAUUCGUAGAUAUUAGGAGGAACACCAGUGGCGAAGGCGACUUACUGGACUGUAACUGACACUGAGGCACGAAAGCGUGNNNNNCGAACAGGAUUAGAUACCCUGGUAGUCCACGCCGUANACGAUNNAUACUAGGUGUCGGGCGNNNAAACUC